rnacentral:rRNA from 1 species
UACGUAGGGUGCGAGCGUUGUCCGGAAUUAUUGGGCGUAAAGAGCUCGUAGGCGGUUUGUCGCGUCUGCUGUGAAAACUGGAGGCUCAACCUCCAGCCUGCAGUGGGUACGGGCAGACUAGAGUGCGGUAGGGGAGAUUGGAAUUCCUGGUGUAGCGGUGGAAUGCGCAGAUAUCAGGAGGAACACCCGUGGCGAAGGCGGCUUUCUAGGAUAUACCUGACACUGAGAAGCGACAGCUAGGGGAGCAAACAGG